rnacentral:rRNA from 1 species
UCGUGAGACAGUUCGGUCCCUAUCCGUCGCAGGCGUAGGAAAUUUGAGAAGACCUGUCCUUAGUACGAGAGGACCGGGAUGGACGUACCUCUGGUGUACCAGUUGUUCUGCCAAGGGCAUGGCUGGGUAGCUAUGUACGGAAUGGAUAAGCGCUGAAAGCAUCUAAGCGCGAAGCCAACUUCAAGAUAAGAUUUCCCACCGCAAGGGUAAGACCCCAGAAAGACUAUCUGGUUGAUAGGUCGAAGGUGUAAGUGCAGCAAUGUAUUUAGCUUAUCGAUACUAAUAG